UUCAUGCUCGGCCGCGACAGCGACACCGUCGCCUUCGUCCAGUUCCCGCAGCGGUUCGAGGGCGUGGACCCCACGGACCUGUACGCCAACCACAACCGCAUCUUCUUCGACGGCACGCUCCGGGCGCUCGACGGCAUGCAGGGGCCCAUCUACGUCGGGACGGGUUGCCUCUUCCGCCGCGUCACGCUCUACGGCUUCGACCCGCCGAGGAUCAACGUCGGCGGCCAGUGCUUCCCGUCGCUGGGAGGGAUGUUCGCCAAGACCAAGUACGAGAAGCCGGGGCUCGAGAUGAGCACCGCCAAGGGCGCCGCCACCGCCGUCGUCGCCAAGGGUAAGCACGGGUUCCUGCCCCUGCCCAAGAAGUCGUACGGCAAGUCGGAGGCGUUCGUGGACUCGAUCCCGCGCGCGUCGCACCCGUCGCCGUUCGCCAACGCCACCGGCGACGCCGGCGUGCUGACCGACGAGGCGACCAUCUCGGAGGCCGUGGCGGUGACGACGGCGGCGUACGAGAAGAAGACCGGGUGGGGCAGCAACAUCGGGUGGGUGUACGGCACCGUGACGGAGGACGUGGUGACGGGGUACCGGAUGCACAUCAAGGGGUGGCGCUCCCGCUACUGCUCCAUCUACCCGCACGCCUUCAUCGGCACCGCCCCCAUCAACCUCACGGAGCGCCUCUACCAGGUGCUCCGCUGGUCCACGGGGUCCCUCGAGAUCUUCUUCUC
rnacentral:lncRNA from 1 species